UGGGGAAUAUUGGACAAUGGGCGCAAGCCUGAUCCAGCAAUGCCGCGUGUGUGAAGAAGGCCUUCGGGUUGUAAAGCACUUUUAUCAGGAGCGAAACGCUGUCGGCUAAUACCCGGCGGAACUGACGGUACCUGAGGAAUAAGCACCGGCUAACUUCGUGCCAGCAGCCGCGGUAAUACGAAGGGUGCAAGCGUUAAUCGGAAUUACUGGGCGUAAAGCGUGCGUAGGCGGUUUCUUAAGUCUGCUGUGAAAUCCCCGGGCUCAACCUGGGAAUGGCAGUGGAUACUGGGAGGCUAGAGUGUGUCAGAGGGUGGUGGAAUUCCCGGUGUAGCGGUGAAUGCGUAGAGAUCGGGAGGAACAUCAGUGGCGAAGGCGGCCACCUGGGACAACACU
rnacentral:rRNA from 1 species